UUAUUGGGCGUAAGAGCUCGUAGGCGGUUUGUCGCGUCUGCUGUGAAAUCUCGGGGGCUCAACCCCCAGCCUGCAGUGGGUACGGGCAGACUAGAGUGCGGUAGGGGAGAUUGGAAUUCCUGGUGUAGCGGUGGAAUGCGCAGAUAUCAGGAGGAACACCGAUGGCGAAGGCAGAUCUCUGGGCCGUAACUGACGCUGAGGAGCGAAAGCAUGGGGAGCGAACAGGAUUAGAUACCCUGGUAGUCCAUGCCGUAAACGUUGGGAACUAGAUGUGGGGGCCAUUCCACGGUCUCUGUGUCGCAGCUAACGCAUUAAGUUCCCCGCCUGGGGAGUACGGCCGCAAGGCUAAAACUCAAAGGAAUUGACGGGGGCCCGCACAAGCGGCGGAGCAUGCGGAUUAAUUCGAUGCAACGCGAAGAACCUUACCAAGGCUUGACAUAUACCGGAAACGUCCAGAGAUGGUCGCCCCGCAAGGUCGGUAUACAGGUGGUGCAUGGUUGUCGUCAGCUCGUGUCGUGAGAUGUUGGGUUAAGUCCCGCAACGAGCGCAACCCUCGUUCUAUGUUGCCAUCACGUUAUGGUGGGAACUCAUAGGAGACUGCCGGGGUCAACUCGGAGGAAGGUGGGGGAUGACGUCAAAUCAUCAUGGCCCUUAUGUC
rnacentral:rRNA from 2 species